rnacentral:misc_RNA from 1 species
UUUCCGUAGGUGAACCUGCGGAAGGAUCAUUAAAGUUAUAGUCCCCCGGCCCCUCCGGGCUGGGGUCUUCUAUACCACCCUUUGUUUAUUACACCUUUGUUGCUUUGGCAGGCCUGCCCUCGGGCUGCUGGCUCCGGCCGGCUCGUGCCUGCCAGAGGACCUAAACUCUGUUUGUAUAUGAAGUCUGAGUACUAUAUAAUAGUUAAAACUUUCAACAACGGAUCUCUUGGUUCUGACAUCGUGAAGAACGCAGC